rnacentral:piRNA from 1 species
UNUCAGGCCAGGACAGUUACCUGGGAAUGGUC